rnacentral:rRNA from 1 species
UAGGGAAUCUUCCGCAAUGGGCGAAAGCCUGACGGAGCAACGCCGCGUGAGUGAUGAAGGUCUUCGGAUCGUAAAACUCUGUUAUUAGGGAAGAACAAAUGUGUAAGUAACUAUGCACGUCUUGACGGUACCUAAUCAGAAAGCCACGGCUAACUACGUGCCAGCAGCCGCGGUAAUACGUAGGUGGCAAGCGUUAUCCGGAAUUAUUGGGCGUAAAGCGCGCGUAGGCGGUUUUUUAAGUCUGAUGUGAAAGCCCACGGCUCAACCGUGGAGGGUCAUUGGAAACUGGAAAACUUGAGUGCAGAAGAGGAAAGUGGAAUUCCGAGUGUAGAGGUGAAAUUCGUAGAUAUUCGGAGGAACACCAGUGGCGAAGGCGGCUCACUGGACCAUUACUGACGCUGAGGUGCGAAAGCGUGGGGAGCAAACAGG